rnacentral:snoRNA from 1 species
GCACUUGAAGAGGAGGAGCUUGUCGAGUACAUCCUCACCGGCCUCGACUUCGAUUUCAACCCGAUUGUUUCUGCCCUCGUUGUGAGGAAGGAAUCGGUCACUGUCAGUGAGGUAUACUCCCAACUUCUUGCAUUUGAAA